rnacentral:rRNA from 1 species
CAUCUUUUAAUUUUUAAAAGACCUUUUUCGAAAGGUAUACUUAAAGAGGGGCUUGCGGCACAUUAGUUAGUUGGUAGGGUAAAAGCCUACCAAGACCAUGAUGUGUAGCUGGACUGAGAGGUUGAACAGCCACAUUGGGACUGAGACACGGCCCAAACUCCUACGGGAGGCAGCAGUAGGGAAUUUUCGGCAAUGGAGGAAACUCUGACCGAGCAACGCCGCGUGAACGAUGAAGUAUUUCGGUAUGUAAAGUUCUUUUAUUGAAGAAGAAAAAAUAGUGGAAAAACUAUCUUGACGAUAUUCUGAAUAAGCCCCGGCAAACUAUGUGCCAGCAGCCGCGGUAAUACAUAGGGGGCGAGCGUUAUCCGGAAUUAUUGGGCGUAAAGGGUGCGUAGGCGGUUUGGUAAGUCUAUAGUUUAAUUUCAGUGCUUAACACUGUUCUGCUAUAGAAACUAUCAGACUAGAGUGAGAUAGAGGCAAGUGGAAUUCCAUGUGUAGCGGUAAAAUGCGUAAAUAUAUGGAGGAACACCAGAGGCGUAGGCGGCUUGCUGGGUCUUUACUGACGCUGAGGCACGAAAGCGUGGGGAGCAAACAGGAUUAGAUACCCUGGUAGUCCACGCCGUAAACGAUGAGUACUAAGUGUCGGGGAAACUCGGUACUGAAGUUAACACAUUAAGUACUCCGCCUGAGUAGUACGUACGCAAGUAUGAAACUUAAAGGAAUUGACGGGACUCCGCACAAGCGGUGGAUCAUGUUGUUUAAUUCGAAGAUACACGAAAAACCUUACCAGGUCUUGACAUACUCUGCAAAGCUAUAGCAAUAUAGUGGAGGUUAUCAGGGAUACAGGUGGUGCAUGGUUGUCGUCAGCUCGUCGUGAGAUGUUAGGUUAAGUCCUAAAACGAGCGCAACCCUUGUCACUAGUUGCCAGCAUGUUAUGAUGGGCACUUUAGUGAGACUGCCAAUGAAAAAUUGGAGGAAGGUGAGGAUCACGUCAAAUCAUCAUGCCCCUUAUGAUCUGGGCUACAAACGUGAUACAAUGGCUGUUACAAAGAGUAGCUAAACGCGAGUUUAUAGCCAAUCUCAUAAAAGCAGUCUCAGUUCGGAUUGAAGUCUGCAACUCGACUUCAUGAAGUUGGAAUCGCUAGUAAUCGCGAAUCAGCAUGUCGCGGUGAAUACGUUCUCGGGGUUUGUACACACCG